GUCUAUCGCCAUUCCGCCCUGAACACGCCCAAUCUCAUCUGAUCUCAGAAAAACUAGGCAGGGUCGGUGUUUAGUAUUUGGAUGGGAGACCACCUAGGAAGACCGGGUGCUGUAGGCA
rnacentral:rRNA from 1 species